rnacentral:lncRNA from 1 species
UUUUAUACACAUAUCCCACAUCUUAUAAACUCAUCUAAAUAUAUCUAAACAAUAAAAAACAAAAAAAAAUUAAAAUUCAGUUUCAUCUUCAACUAAAUUUAUUAUUACAAAAACAUUGCAAUUAAUACUCAUCAAGAACACUAGUAACCCCAACCCUUGAAGAUUCCAAUAAAAACCAAUUAAUUAACACAACACCCACCAAAAGUCAUCACCAUGGCCGCCGCCGUCAACUCCAAUUCCAUGGCGAUCAUCAUCCUGCUCUUGUCCGCCGCAGUCCUGGCCGCGAGCACCUCAAUGCCACCGCCGCAAGAUGCUAGGUCCGUGGAGGCGUGCGUUAAGCUCCUAUUUGAUCCUCCGCGGCGGGCUCCGCCGCCGCUGACGCGCAAUCUGUGCCAGGACACGCUGCGGGCGGUUGUUAAGUCUUUCAGGAUCACCGGAAACUUGUCGGCGGAAUACUUGGCGGCGCUGAAGAAACUUCCCAAGUUCCAGAAGAAUCCAGAAGCUCUCCACAAAUUCCUUUGCGGGCUCUCACCUGCGCACUGCGAUACCUUUACUGUGACCACUAAUUUUUAGUAUUUUUAUUUAAACAUGAGAGAAUUCUUUUCAUUUACAAGAAUCUAUGUUUAAUUCCUCAUCACAUAUUAUUGCCGGUAAAUUUCCUUUCAUAUUAUAAUAAGCUGUUG